rnacentral:rRNA from 1 species
UACGUAGGGUGCAAGCGUUAUCCGGAAUUAUUGGGCGUAAAGAGCUCGUAGGCGGUUUGUCACGUCUGCUGUGAAAACUGGAGGCUCAACCUCCAGCCUGCAGUGGGUACGGGCAGACUAGAGUGCAGUAGGGGAGACUGGAAUUCCUGGUGUAGCGGUGGAAUGCGCAGAUAUCAGGAGGAACACCAAUGGCGAAGGCAGGUCUCUGGGCUGUAACUGACGCUGAGGAGCGAAAGCGUGGGGAGCGAAC